rnacentral:rRNA from 1 species
GUAAAAUUCCGUGGAGGUCCGAACCACGUUGGUGUUGAAAAACCAUGGGAUGAGCUGUGGAUAGCGGAGAAAUUCCAAUCGAACUCGGAGAUAGCUGGUUCUCCUCGAAAUAGCUUUAGGGCUAGCGUCGGGUAAUUGAGUAGUGGAGGUAGAGCACUGAAUGGGCUAGGGGCUGACAACAGUUACUGAACCCUAUCAAACUCCGAAUGCCAUAUACUUGUACCCCGGCAGUCAGACUACGAAUGAUAAGAUCCGUGGUCAAAAGGGAAACAGCCCAGACCAUCAGCUAAGGUCCCAAAGUGUAAGUUAAGUGGGAAAGGAUGUGGGAUUUCUAAGACAACUAGGAUGUUGGCUUAGAAGCAGCCACUCAUUUAAAGAGUGCGUAAUAGCUCACUAGUCGAGAGAUCCUGCGCCGAAGAUGUAACGGGGCUCAAACUUACCACCGAAGCUAUGGAUGUGUACUUUGUACACGUGGUAGAGGAGCUUUCUGUACAGGUUGAAGUCAUACCGUAAGGAGUGGUGGACAGUACAGAAGUGAGAAUGCUGGCAUAAGUAGCGAAAAACAAGUGAGAAUCUUGUUGACCGAAUAUCUAAGGUUUCCUGGGGAAGGCUCGUCCUCCCAGGGUUAGUCGGGACCUAAGCCGAGGCCGAAAGGCGUA